CCUUGGCUUACAAGGACCAGCAUGAAGGGCAAAGGGUGGAAUGGAGUUCAGAAAAAAAUCAUUUCCACUUCUCUUCAUCAGAUGUCCCUUCCCUCUCUCACACAUAAACCCUGGAAAAAAAUUGCUUUGUCACGCUGGAGGCGCCUGAGAAACCCAAAAUGGUCAAAUCAACCACCAAUGGCCUCCUAUCAUUCUCCCCUCCCUGAUUCUCACCUCAGUUUCACCUAAUUUUCCAUGAUUUCCAUAAACCACCAAAAAAUUCACAAGAACCCUAAAAACCUAAACAAAAAUUAAAUGGUAAUGGAGAGGAGUCAAAUCCUAAUACCUUAGGGAUUUGAUUCCCCACAUUUGAACCUACAUUGUGGUAACUAGUUUGAGGUAAAAGAAGAAGAGAUGGAAGAAAUCACCAACCUACAAGGUCGAGGUUCACCCUGGGAAGCUUUGAAGAAUCUUGAAGAGGGAGAUGAAGAUAUAAGACCAGAGGAAGGAAACCAAGGCUGGCUCUAAAUUUUGUAGGGUGAACUUGGUUCGGCAUUGGCAUGUCAUUUCAAAGUUGACUUGACUCAUGGACAAGGAAAGAUUUUGGAAUGCAUCAAGAACAUGGAGAAAUGGAAUGUCUUGAGGGUGAAGACAAAAUAAGGCUAUGGUUAGUUUGACUUUGGUCAAUUGUUUGACCAAAAGUCAACUCUAUGUCAAAUGUGACUUUUUUGUGUAAUUUUGGUACUCCCUCUUGUAAUGAUAUUUUAUGACUUCGUAAUAAAAAAUGGCCUUUUUAAUGUAA